rnacentral:sRNA from 1 species
CUGUUUUGAUGAGUUCAACCGUAUUGAGCUGCCUGUCUUGUCAGUGGCCGCCCAACAGAUUUACAUCGUGUUGAAUGCCAAGAAAGACAAGAAGAAAGAAUUUAUCUUCACAGAUGGCGACAGAGUUCUACUGAAUCCUGAAUUUGGUAUCUUCUUAACUAUGAAUCCUGGCUAUGCUGGAAGACAGGAAUUGCCAGAAAAUUUGAAAAUUAUGUUUCGAACUGUUUCUAUGAUGGUGCCAGAUAGGCAGAUCAUCAUGCGAGUCAAACUUGCAUCCUGUGGUUUUAUUGAAAACAUAAUCCUAGCCCAGAAGUUUUAUACUUUAUACAAGUUGUGUGAGGAGCAGCUGUCAAA